AGUGAACGCUGGCGGUAGGCCUAACACAUGCAAGUCGAACGGCAGCACAGUAAGGGCUUGCUCUUACGGGUGGCGAGUGGCGGACGGGUGAGGAAUACAUCGGAAUCUACUUUUUCGUGGGGGAUAACGUAGGGAAACUUACGCUAAUACCGCAUACGACCUACGGGUGAAAGCAGGGGAUCUUCGGACCUUGCGCGAUUGAAUGAGCCGAUGUCGGAUUAGCUAGUUGGCGGGGUAAAGGCCCACCAAGGCGACGAUCCGUAGCUGGUCUGAGAGGAUGAUCAGCCACACUGGAACUGAGACACGGUCCAGACUCCUACGGGAGGCAGCAGUGGGGAAUAUUGGACAACGGGCGCAAGCCUGAUCCAGCCAUACCGCGUGGGUGAAGAAGGCCUUCGGGUUGUAAAGCCCUUUUGUUGGGAAAGAAAAGCAGCAGGUUAAUACCCCGCUGUUCUGACGGUACCCAAAGAAUAAGCACCGGCUAACUUCGUG
rnacentral:rRNA from 1 species